AUUGAACGCUGGCGGCAGGCCUAACACAUGCAAGUCGAGCGGGGAAGGGUAGCUUGCUACCUGACCUAGCGGCGGACGGGUGAGUAAUGCUUAGGAAUCUGCCUAUUAGUGGGGGACAACAUUCCGAAAGGAAUGCUAAUACCGCAUACGCCCUACGGGGGAAAGCAGGGGAUCUUCGGACCUUGCGCUAAUAGAUGAGCCUAAGUCAGAUUAGCUAGUUGGGGGGGUAAAGGCCUACCAAGGCGACGAUCUGUUGCGGGUCGGAGCGGAUGUGCCUCCACAGUGGGACUGAUACACGGCCCAGACUCGUACGGGAGGCAGCAGUGGGUAAUAUUGGACAAUGGGCGAAAGCCUGAUCCAGCCACGCCGCGUGUGUGAAGAAGACCUUUUGGUUGUAAAGCACUUUAAGCGAGGAGGAGGCUACCGAGAUUAAUACUCUUGGAUAGUGGACGUUACUCGCAGAAUAAGCACCGGCUAACUCUGUGCCAGCAGCCGCCGUAA
rnacentral:rRNA from 1 species